GACGAACGCUGGCGGCGUGCCUAAUACAUGCAAGUUGAGCGCUGAAGGUUGGUACUUGUACCAACUGGAUGAGCAGCGAACGGGUGAGUAACGCGUGGGGAAUCUGCCUUUGAGCGGGGGACAACAUUUGGAAACGAAUGCUAAUACCGCAUAAAAACUUUAAACACAAGUUUUAAGUUUGAAAGAUGCAAUUGCAUCACUCAAAGAUGAUCCCGCGUUGUAUUAGCUAGUUGGUGAGGUAAAGGCUCACCAAGGCGAUGAUACAUAGCCGACCUGAGAGGGUGUUCGGCCACAUUGGGCCUGAGACACGGCCCAAACUCUUACGGGAGGCAGCAGUAGGGAAUCUUCGGCAAUGGACGAAAGCCUGACGAGCAACGCCGCGUGAGUGAAGAAGGUUUUCGGAUCGUAAAACUCUGUUGGUAGAGAAGAACGUUGGUGAGAGUGGAAAGCUCAUCAAGUGACGGUAACUACCCAGAAAGGGACGGCUAACUACGUG
rnacentral:rRNA from 1 species